UACGAGGGGGGCGAGCGUUGUUCGGAAUUAUUGGGCGUAAAGGGUGCGUAGGCGGUUUGGUAAGUCUUAUGUGAAAUCUAUGGGCUCAACUCAUAGUCUGCAUGAGAAACUGCCGGGCUUGAGUGUGGGAGAGGUGAGUGGAAUUUCCGGUGUAGCGGUGAAAUGCGUAGAGAUCCGGAAGAACACCGGUGGCGAAGGCGGCCUGCUGGGCAGUGGCUGACGCUGAGGCGCGACAGCGUGGGGAGCAAACAGG
rnacentral:rRNA from 1 species